rnacentral:rRNA from 1 species
GACGAACGCUGGCGGCGUGCUUAACACAUGCAAGUCGAGCGGUAAGGCCCUUUCGGGGGUACACGAGCGGCGAACGGGUGAGUAACACGUGGGUGACCUGCCCUCAGCUCUGGGAUAAGCCUGGGAAACCGGGUCUAAUACUGGAUAUGACUCCAUGACGCAUGUUGUGGGGUGGAAAGCCUUGUGCGGCUGAGGAUGGGCCCGCGGCCUAUCAGCUUGUUGGUGGGGUGAGGCCUACCAAAGGCGACGACGGGUAGCCGGCCUGAGAGGGCGACCGGCCACACUGGGACUGAGACACGGCCCAGACUCCUACGGGAGGCAGCAGUGGGGAAUCUUGCGCAAUGGGCGAAAGCCUGACGCAGCGACGCCGCGUGAGGGAUGGCGGCCU